rnacentral:rRNA from 1 species
AUAAACGCUGGCGGCGUGCCUAAAACAUGCAAGUCGAACGGCACCUUCGGGUGUAGUGGCGGACGGCUGAGUAACACGUGGAUGACCUGCCUUCGAGCGGGGGAUAACUGCCCGAAAGGGUGGCUAAUACCGCAGAUGUCGUUUCUUCGGUGAGAUGACUGAACUUGAGGGGCUCGGAGAGGGGUCCGCGGCCGAUUAGCUAGCUGGUGGGGUAAUGGCCUACCAGGGCGUCGAUCGGUAGCUGGUCUGAGAGGAUGAUCAGCCAGACUGGGACUGCGAACGGCCCAGACUCCUACGGGAGGCAGCAGUUAGGAAUUUUGGGCAAUGGGCGAAAGCCUGACCCAGCAACGCCGCGUGGGUGAUGAAGGCCCUCGGGUCGUAAAGCCCUUUUCCCAGGGAAGAUAGUGACGGUACCUGGGGAAUAAGCCCCGGCUAACUACGUGCCAGCAGCCGCAGUAAAAC